UACGUAGGGCGCGAGCGUUGUCCGGAUUUAUUGGGCGUAAAGAGCUCGUAGGCGGCUUGUCGCGUCGUCCGUGAAAACCUGGGGCUCAACUGUGGGCUUGCAGUCGAUACGGGCAGGCUGGAGUUCGGUAGGGGAGACUGGAAUUCCUGGUGUAGCGGUGAAAUGCGCAGAUAUCAGGAGGAACACCGGUGGCGAAGGCGGGUCUCUGGGCCGAUACUGACGCUGAGGAGCGAAAGCGUGGGGAGCGAGCAGG
rnacentral:rRNA from 1 species